rnacentral:rRNA from 1 species
GAUCAUGGCUCAGGACGAACGCUGGCGGCGUGCUUAACACAUGCAAGUCGAACGAAGAGCGAUGGAAGCUUGCUUCUAUCAAUCUUAGUGGCGAACGGGUGAGUAACGCGUAAUCAACCUGCCCUUCAGAGGGGGACAACAGUUGGAAACGACUGCUAAUACCGCAUACGAUUCAAUUCCGGCAUCGGGACUGAUGAAAGGUGGCCUCUAUUUAUAAGCUAUCACUGAAGGAGGGGA